GAGCCAUUGACAUCCUAGUAAUUGAAGAAAAUACUCGCGGAGCAGAAGAUACACAAAGAAUGCCAUCAGAAAGCAAAUUUGUAUCAUUUUGAGCUUCCAAGUGGCGUCAGCUUUUUUACAUCAAUCUAUCCGAGCUUUCGCAUUAUGAUAAGUGGCGCUCACAAUCUGAAUUCUCCUCCAAACAUGAUCGGAGAUUUCUCUUUAUACAAACUUGAGAGCUCAGUUUGACAUGUGUGAUGUCAAAGGUUAGGCUACAAUUUCACUUUCACGGUUUGUGCUAAAAAUCAGAAGAAUGUGAUCAAUUCAUUUGGUUUGAAAUAACGGCGCCAAACCAUCAAUUUGAACUGCAACUCAGUGUGUUCUAAUUAAACCGAAGCAAAACCGAAUUGGCGUUUAGUUUAAAUGACAGUCUAUUUCUUUUUUAAUCUUUACAAAAGUAUGGAACAGUUUAUAAACUCUUAAAACUAAUCUUAAACUACCGGUUUAGUAAAUGAUUGCUUGCGCGUAGGCUUAUUUGCUUUACUUACAAGAUGAUAUCAUCAUAAAUUUAAAAUUCGUGGCGUAUUUUUCAGUAUGCAAAUUGAGGACCCCUUAAACCUGUAGAAUAUGAAGUCAGAGGGCAUGGCCAACAGCACAAAACAGCCGUGUGUUUCCAGCUCCACAGUCCGCAGAGAGCAACGUGACAUUUUUGUUUUUGUGUUAAAAAAGAGCGAAUGAAGGAAAGUUUCUAAAUUGUGAAUAUUCGUAUAUUUCCUGCAUUUUUUUUUUUUUUGCCUAAGGAGUCACAGACAGAAGUUGGAAAUGAAAGCGCACAAAAUAUGCCAGGUGUACAUGUGGCACCGUGGCGCUCUCGAGGACGCAUUCCAGCCUGUGAUGAGGUGAAAGGUCCAACGCAAGUGACAGAGCACUUAAACAGCCUUUCUUCUGCUGUCUCCCGCAAUUAAUGUUAUUGAAGGACUGAAAUGAUGCUAAUAGUUAGACAGAAAGCCUCUGGCUGUGUGGAAAUACAUGUAUCUAAUCAGUUUGCCAUUGCAUUUUAAUGGAAUUGCGUUUAUAAAAAUGUGUAAGUUAAAAAGAUAAUCUGAAGAAUUCCCUGCAGUGAUGUGAAAUGAGGUGAGGUCUGAAUGAAUGAUGAUAAAAUCAUUAGCCUUUGUAGCCUCACUGUUUUAAUACCUUUACAUAUUUCUUCAUGAGCUCCACGAACAGAUUUGUUUGACUUAAUAAAGACUCGAACUGAAUUGUA